CCUCCCAGGUUCAAGUGAUUAUCCUGCCUCAGCCUCCCAAGUAGCUGGGAUUACAGGCAUGUGCCACCACACCUGGCUAAUUUUUUGUAUUUUUAGGAGAGACGGAGUUUCACCAUGUUGGCCAGGCUGGUCUUGAACUCCUGACCUCAGGUGAUCCACCUGCCUCGGCCUCCCAAAGUGCUGAGAUUACAGAUGUGAGCCACCGUGCCUGGCCUAGUCCCCACUUUCUAAUACCACCAUCAUGGGGAUGGAAUUUCAAACAUAAAUUUGGGGGAUGGGACACAGAUUCAGACCAUAGCACAUCACUUUCUUCUUCCUAACAGAUCUUCAAUUUUGUUCAACUAUCCACCCAUCCAUGGAUUGACUUUAAUCAGUCCAUUCCAAUGAAUAUUUGGCCUUUCUCUGAUCCACAGGUGCAUGUAUAAUUUGCCUAAUACAAGCUAAGGGAAGAACAUAUUUCAUAGUUGGGGGAGGUUUUCCUUCUUCCACUGGAUGUGAAUAGGGGAACAUGCUGCCUGUUUGGAACUGGCAGCCACCUUACCACCAUGAGGGGAAGCAACAAAAUGCAAAGAUAUAAAAAAUAUAGAUGCUUCAAGACAUGGCUGAACCCAAACUUAGAGCCUAGUCCUUGUAGAUAAUACAUUUUCUCCCUAUUUAAGCGAGAGUGAACUGCGUUGUCUGUGACUUGCAGAAAUUUUGUGUCCUGUUACAAAAUAUCAAAAAGUUGCCUCAAUUUUCUAGUGUCCUGCUCUACUGAUGCAGUAAGCAUCUGCCUGGUCCCAACAUUGCUGGCUGCUGUAGGGAUGGUUAACUGAAAAGGGGCAAGAGCAUAUUAUACAUGUACAGUCACACACUGCAUAACAACGUUUCAGUCAAUGACAGACCACAUGUAUGACAGUGGUCUCAUAAGAUUAUAAUGGAGCUGAAAAAUGCUUAUCACCAAGUGAUGUCAUAGCCAUUGGAACAUCAUAGUGCAACACAUUACUCAUGUGUUGUGGCAAUGCUGGUGUAAACAAACCUACUGUGCUGCUAGUUGUAUAGAAGUAUAGUAGUUAUCAUUGUGUUACAAUCACCUAUAGUAUUCAGAGCAGUAAUGUGCAGUACAGGUUUGUAGCCUAGGAGCAAUGGGCUAUAGCCUAGAUAUAUAGUAGGAUAUAUCAUCUAGUUUGUGUAAGUACACUCUGUGAUAUUCAUACAAUGAUGAAAUUGCCUAAUGAUACAUUUCUCAGAACUCAUCCCCAUUGUUAAGUGACACAUGAUUGUAGAUAUGAAGCCAGAGAAAAAGCUUUGUUUAACAAGAGAUAAUGGCAGCUUUGGGAUGUGGCAAUAAAGAUAUGGACAAGUGGAAAAAUUAAAGAUGUAAUUAAGAGACAAAACUGAUAAGAUUCAGGGAUGAACUAAAUACUAAGGGAAGGGAGAGACAGGUGGCAAGCAUGACCCUAGGAGUUUCUAUUUUGCAUAAGUAGAUGGAUAGUGAUACACUCACUAAGCUCCAGAGAUCACCAGAACAGAGAAGGUUUAAUAUUGAAGAACAAGAAUUUGAUGUUUGCCAGGCGCAGUGGCUCAUGCCUGUAAUCCCAGUACUUUGGGAGGCUGAUGUCGUGGAUCAUGAGGUCAGGAGUCCGAGACCAGCCUGAUCAACACGGUGAGACUCCGUAAAAAUACAAAAAUUAGCCGAGUGUGGUGGUACAUGCCUGUAAUCCCAUCUACUCAGGAGGCUGAGGCAGGAGAAUCGCUUGAACCCGGGAGGCAGAGGUUGCAGUGAGCCGAGAUCAUGCCGCUUGCACUCCAGCAUGGGUUACAAAGCAAGACUCCAUCUCAAAAAAAAAAAUAAAAAAUUGAUGUUUGACACACUGAAUUUGAGAUACCUUUGAAGUAUCCAGUUUAGAUUUUUCUAUAACAGCUUGAUUAAUAUAUAAUUUACCUUUUAAAAAAUUAUCUGGUUUUUAAUAUAUUCAGAGUUAUGCAACCAUCAUUUCUAUCUAAAUUAUUUUUUAAUAUUUUCAUCACUCCAAAAAGAAAAUUUCAUAUCCUUUAGCAGUCAUUUCCUAUUCUCCCUUCCUCCUAACCCCUGGCAACCACCAAGCUGCUUUUCUGUCUCUAAUGCUGGCCUUGGAUUCGGCCUUCAUGAGCUGUAAUGGCUUUCCCUGGUGGCAUCCAUUAGAAUAUUUAAGGUGACAAUUUUUUUUUUCCCAUUCUGGGAGCCAACCACUUCAAAAAAUCUUUGUCAGGUCACUGAUGACUCUAUAGAUAGUAGAACAGAAACCUCAGUGGCCAAACGCAACUGUGAAUACACACUUUGCAAAAAAAAAAAAAAUAGUUUGAAAAAAUCAGUUAACUAGUGGACAGCAGCAGCCUUCAAAAAGCAAAAAUCAGCAAUCACUGAGGAGGAGGAGAAAUUGAUUUCCAAAGUUACCACAUUACAAAACGCAAAAUAUCCAGUUCUUAACAAAGAAUUACAAAGCAUACAAGGAAACAUAAAAGUAUGGCUCUUUCACAAGAUAAAAAGAGUUGAACAGAAACCACUCCUGAGGAAGCCCAGACACUGGAAUUACUAGCCAAAGAUGUCAAAUUAACUCUCUUAAAUAUAGUCAGUAGGUUAAAGGAAACCAAGAAAAAGUCUGAUGGAAAACAGGAGAAUAAUGUAUGAAUGAAUAGGGAACGUCAAUAAAGAAAUAGUAAAAAAGAAUCAAAUCGAAAUUCUGGAGCUGAAAAUUACAACAGCUGAAAUGAAAAAUUCAUUAGAGGAAUGCAAUGGCAGAUUUGAGCAGACAGAAGAAAGAAUCAGCAAACUGAAAGAUAAAGCAAUUGAAAUUAACCAGUCUAAGGACCAGAAAACACAGAAGAAAGAAAAAUGAACAGAGCCCAAGGAACUUGUGGGACACCAUCAAGCAUGUCAACAUAUACACACAUCAUAGGAGUGCCAAAGAGAGAUUUAAAAAAAGAAGAAAAAUAUUUGAAGGAAAUAUUUUAGGAAAUAAUAACUUCUCAAAUUUGAGGAGAGACAUGAAUAAAUACAUCCAAGAAACUCAAGCAGGAUAAACUUAAAGAGACCCACACCAAGACACAUUAUAGGCAAAUUGUCAAAACCCAAAGACAAAUAUGGAAUGCCGAAAGCAGCAAGAGAGAUGCAAUUCAUUAUGUACAAUGGAUCCUCAGCAAGAUUAACAACUGAUUGCUCAUCAGAAACCACAGAGACCAGAAAGCAGUAGGAUAACACAUCUAAAGUCUUUAGAAAAUAAAAACAAAAACAAUAAAAGACCUUUCAACCAAGAAUUCUAAACCAGCAAAACUAUUCUUCAAGAAUAAAGGAUAAAUUAAGAUAUUUCCACUUUUUUUUUAAGUUGAAGAAGUUUGUUGCUACUAGAUCUGCCCUACAAGAAAUGCUAAAGAGAAUCUUUCUGGCUGAAAUGAAGGAAUACUAGUCAGUAACUCAAAGCCAUAGAAGAAAUAAAGAACACGAGUAAAGGUAACUACAUAGGAAUUAUGGGAGCUACAAUUCAAGAUGAGAUUUGGUUGGGGACACAGUCAAACCGUAUGAAGAGGAAAGCCUUGACUGGACCUUGACCUUGACUCAACCUUAGCCCUUACUCUGUGAGCACAAGUACACAGGACGAUACUUGUGAUGGUUAAUAUUGAGAGUCAACUUGAUUGGAUUGAAGGAUGCAAAGUAUUGUUCGUGGGUGCGUCUGUGAGGGUGUUGCCAAAGGAGAUGGACAUUUGAGUCAGUGGACCGGGAGAGGCAGACUCACCCCUACUCUGGGUAAGCACCAUCUAAUCAGCUGCCAGCUGAAUAAAGCAGGCAGGAGAAGAUGGAAGAGCAGACUUGCUGAGUCUUCUGGACUUCAUCUUUCUCCCGUGCUGGCUGCUUCCUGCCCUCGAACAUCAGACUCCAAGUUCUUAAGCUUUUGGACUCUUGGACUUACACCAGUGGUUUGCCAGGGGCUCUCGGGCCUUUGGCCACAGACUGAAGGCUGCACUGUCGGCUUCCCUACUUUUGAGGUUUUGGGACUCGGACUGAUCCACCACUACCUUCCUUGCCCCUCAGCAUGCAGACAACCUAUCGUGGGACUUUACCUGGUGAUUGUGUCCUCUCAAUCCUGAAGAGAUUAAUUAAAACUCCAGCACCUUUUAAACAUCUAAAUAGGAAACACUUGUCAUCUAUUGUGUCUAAGGGCAGCCACUAUAAGACUUCAGAAGAACCCUGAUCUCCACAAUUUUUUAUUCUAACCUGAAUAUUUCAUUUCUAUCGAUCUCAGGUCUUUAGACAAACUCCACCAAUUGUCAAUCAGAAAACGUUUAAAUUUACCUAUAGCCUGAGAGCACCUGCUUUGAGUUGUCCCGCCUUUCUGCACUAAACUAAUGUAUUUCUUGAAUGUAUUUGAUUGAUGUCUCAUGCCUUCCUAAAAUGUAUAAAACCAAACUGCUCCCCCACCACCUUGGGCACAUGUUCUCAGGACCUCCUGAGGGCUGUGUCACGGGCCAUGGUCACUCAUAUUUGGUUCAGAAUAAAUCCCUUCAAAUAUUUUACAGAGUUUGACUCUUUUCAUUGACACCUAUUUGGCCCUUCUUUGAUAAAUUACAAGU
ensembl:lncRNA novel transcript